rnacentral:lncRNA from 1 species
CAGUAUUUAUUUACAGUUCACAGAUUACAGGCUAGUUCCCAGCUUGGGGAAAAUCGUUUAGUAUAUUACAAAAACAAAAGCUCUUCAAUCAAUUAGAGUUUAAAUACAGUUAUUAUUUCAAUCUUUUGCUAAUGAUGUACACGUCUUUACUCCCCACUUCUCCACUCCACCAAAUCCCAUUAUACCUACCUCCCCACCACUACUUUACUUUUCCCCCACCACACUAGUGCACCACCAACUCCAUUAUCUUUUGCUCCCCACCAAAUCCUUCUCCCUUCUUACUCAAUAGAUCGCCAGUGGAGCUGUUUAAGAAAAUCCAAUUCGUAUAUUCCAACAGAAUGUUUACAGCAAGCUCAUGCCAACAUCAAAACCAAGUUUCACACAGAAAAAAACACCCGAAAUAACAUCUAUAAUCUCCGAGAUCUCCUUAUUCAAACAGUAUAUGCCAACAAAUUUUCACCAAGAAGAAGAAAACAGAUCAGCCAAUCAAGCACAAAUAGACAAGGUAAACACUAGGCUCAGC